rnacentral:guide_RNA from 1 species
AAAACAUAAACAAGAAAAUCACUCGAGAUAGAAAAUGGUAUAUAU